rnacentral:rRNA from 1 species
AGAAGCACCGGGGUAACUACGUCAGCAGCCCGGUAAUACGUAGGGUGCGAGCGUUAAUCGGAAUUACUGGGCGUAAAGCGUGCGCAGGCGGUUUUGUAAGAUGUGAAAGCCCCGGGCUUAACCUGGGAACUGCGUUUGAAACUACAAGGCUAGAGGUGGCAGAGGGGGGUGGAAUUCCACGUGUAGCAGUGAAAUGCGUAGAGAUGUGGAGGAAACCGAUGGCGAAGGCAGCCCCCUGGGUCAACACUGACGCUCAGGCACGAAAGCGUGGGGAGCAAACAGGAUUAGAUACCCUGGUAGUCCACGCCCUAAACUAUGUCAACUGGUUGUCGGGUCUUAACGGACUUGGUAACGUAGCUAACGCGUGAAGUUUACCGCCUGGGAGUACGGUCGCAAGAUUAAAACUCAAAGGAAUUGACGGGGACCCGCACAAAAUGGAAUGUGGAUUAAUGGGUCGAUGCAAAACGCGAAAAACCUUACCUACCCUUGACAUGUACCGAAGCCCGCCGAGAAUGCGAAAGGGAGCGGUAACACAGG